rnacentral:rRNA from 1 species
GUGGGGAAUAUUGGACAAUGGGCGAAAGCCUGAUCCAGCCAUGCCGCGUGUGUGAAGAAGGUCUUCGGAUUGUAAAGCACUUUAAGUUGGGAGGAAGGGUAGUAACCUAAUACGUUGCUACUUUGACGUUACCGACAGAAUAAGCACCGGCUAACUUCGUGCCAGCAGCCGCGGUAAUACGAAGGGUGUAAGCGUUAAUCGGAAUUACUGGGCGUAAAGCGCGCGUAGGUGGUUUUGUAAGUUGGAGGUGAAAUCCCCGGGCUCAACCUGGGAACUGCAUCCAAAACUGCAUGACUAGAGUACGGUAGAGGGUAGUGGAAUUUCCUGUGUAGCGGUGAAAUGCGUAGAUAUAGGAAGGAACACCAGUGGCGAAGGCGACUACCUGGACUGAUACUGACACUGAGGUGCGAAAGCGUGGGGAGCAAACAGGAUUAGAUACCCCUGUAGUCC